rnacentral:rRNA from 1 species
CCUACGGGAGGCAGCAGUGGGGAAUAUUGCACAAUGGGGGAAACCCUGAUGCAGCGACGCCGCGUGAGUGAAGAAGUAUUUCGGUACGUAAAGCUCUAUCAGCAGGGAAGAAAAUGACGGUACCUGACUAAGAAGCCCCGGCUAACUACGUGCCAGCAGCCGCGGUAAUACGUAGGGGGCAAGCGUUAUCCGGAUUUACUGGGUGUAAAGGGAGCGUAGACGGCAGCGCAAGUCUGGAGUGAAAUCCCAUGGCUUAACCAUGGAACUGCUUUGGAAACUGUGCAGCUAGAGUGCAGGAGAGGUAAGCGGAAUUCCUAGGGUAGCGGUGAAAUGCGUAGAUAUUAGGAGGAACACCAGUGGCGAAGGCGGCUUACUGGACUGUAACUGACGUUGAGGCUCGAAAGCGUGGGGAGCAAACAGGAUUAGAUACCCCUGUAGUC